rnacentral:rRNA from 1 species
UACGUAGGGACCAAGCGUUGUUCGGAUUUACUGGGCGGAAAGGGCGCGUAGGCGGCUUGACAAGUCACUUGUGAAAUCUCCGGGCUUAACUCGGAAUGGCCAAGUGAAACUGUCAUGCUAGAGUGCAGAAGGGGCAAUCGGAAUUCUUGGUGUAGCGGUGAAAUGCGUAGAUAUCAAGAGGAACACCUGAGGUGAAGACGGGUUGCUGGGCUGACACUGACGCUGAGGCGCGAAAGCCAGGGGAGCAAACGGG